UAGUGGCGAACGGGUGAGUAACACGUGGGCAAUCUGCCCUUCACUCUGGGACAAGCCCUGGAAACGGGGUCUAAUACCGGAUAACACUCCUGCCUGCAUGGGUGGGGGUUAAAAGCUCCGGCGGUGAAGGAUGAGCCCGCGGCCUAUCAGCUUGUUGGUGAGGUAGUGGCUCACCAAGGCGACGACGGGUAGCCGGCCUGAGAGGGCGACCGGCCACACUGGGACUGAGACACGGCCCAGACUCCUACGGGAGGCAGCAGUGGGGAAUAUUGCACAAUGGGCGAAAGCCUGAUGCAGCGACGCCGCGUGAGGGAUGACGGCCUUCGGGUUGUAAACCUCUUUCAGCAGGGAAGAAGCGAAAGUGACGGUACCUGCAGAAGAAGCGCCGGCUAACUACGUGCCAGCAGCCCGCGGUAAUACGUAGGGCGCAAGCGUUGUCCGGAAUUAUUGGGCGUAAAGAGCUCGUAGGCGGCUUGUCACGUCGGUUGUGAAAGCCCGGGGCUUAACCCCGGGUCUGCAGUCGAUACGGGCAGGCUAGAGUGGGGUAGGGGAGAUCGGAAUUCCU
rnacentral:rRNA from 1 species